GGGGAUAACACCUGGAAACAGAUGCUAAUACCGCAUAACAACUUGGACCGCAGGUCCGAGUUUGAAAGAUGGCUUCGGCUAUCACUUUUGGAUGGUCCCGCGGCGUAUUAGCUAGAUGGUGGGGUAACGGCUCACCAUGGCAAUGAUACGUAGCCGACCUGAGAGGGUAAUCGGCCACAUUGGGACUGAGACACGGCCCAAACUCCUACGGGAGGCAGCAGUAGGGAAUCUUCCACAAUGGACGAAAGUCUGAUGGAGCAACGCCGCGUGAGUGAAGAAGGGUUUCGGCUCGUAAAACUCUGUUGUUAAAGAAGAACAUAUCUGAGAGUAACUGUUCAGGUAUUGACGGUAUUUAACCAGAAAGCCACGGCUAACUACGUGCCAGCAGCCGCGGUAAUACGUAGGUGGCAAGCGUUGUCCGGAUUUAUUGGGCGUAAAGCGAGCGCAGGCGGUUUUUUAAGUCUGAUGUGAAAGCCUUCGGCUCAACCGAAGAAGUGCAUCGGAAACUGGGAAACUUGAGUGCAGAAGAGGACAGUGGAACUCCAUGUGUAGCGGUGAAAUGCGUAGAUAUAUGGAAGAACACCAGUGGCGAAGGCGGCUGUCUGGUCUGUAACUGACGCUGAGGCUCGAAAGUAUGGGUAGCAAACAGGAUUAGAUACCCUGGUAGUCCAUACCGUAAACGAUGAAUGCUAAGUGUUGGAGGGUUUCCGCCCUUCAGUGCUGCAGCUAACGCAUUAAGCAUUCCGCCUGGGGAGUACGGCCGCAAGGCUGAAACUCAAAGGAAUUGACGGGGGCCCGCACAAGCGGUGGAGCAUGUGGUUUAAUUCGAAGCUACGCGAAGAACCUUACCAGGUCUUGACAUACUAUGCAAAUCUAAGAGAUUAGACGUUCCCUUCGGGGACAUGGAUACAGGUGGUGCAUGGUUGUCGUCAGCUCGUGUCGUGAGAUGUUGGGUUAAGUCCCGCAACGAGCGCAACCC
rnacentral:rRNA from 1 species